GUUCUUCAUCAGAACAUAUACUAAAAUUGAAUGAUUCAAGAUGAUACAUGGCUCCAUCCAAGGAUAAUACACAAGUUUGUGAAGUGUCCCAUAUUUUU
rnacentral:snRNA from 1 species